GAGGGUGGCAAGGCGGUGGAUCGUUGUUGAUGGAUUGAGCCCCCAUAAAAGUUGUUGGGUUUCAAUUUCCAGACGAAAAAACUAACAGAGAGACAGACGCUGUGUUUGUUUUAAAAACUGCUGCUAAAUAUAAUUUAUUAGGUUCUGUCGUUAGUCGGGGGGGCUAAGAAGUGCGAAUCUUCCAUGCACCAAGUCUUUGUGAUUGGCGAUCAAGAAACUGCGGUUUUGAACUGUCAGUUACCAAAAUUCAAAACUUCUGUGGCACUUGAGUGCACAACGUCUGGAUUGAAUUGUCUUUAUUCUCCAGACCAAUUGCUCACAAUGGGGAGAUGAAUACGCUAUAGAGUAACGUGAAUUUUAUGAAGGCCCAUGAAGGAGUGAUGAAAAGUACAUUGUACGGUGAUUAGCUGAAAAAUCUUGACUCUGUUGAAUCCAAUCUUUCAGACUUGGAUCCACCGAUGGUGUGCUCGAGUUUUUGGCCCUGUCUGGAGAGUGCUCUUCACUAGAGGUGGUGAUGGCAAUGGUAACCAUGGAAGCUUGGCAAAACGACUUGACUAUAAAUGGCACCCUGAAAGCGAAACUUGUAUCACUGGGCUGCAUGUGCAAUGGAGCCCUGAGAAUGGUCCACAGCGAUAAUAACUUUCACCGAUUGCAAAUACCUUGACAGGUCUUGAUAUUUAUUCCAGUCUUUUGAUUAGAAUUUUGCUUUCAUUUACAGUUGAUAUCGAUUUCGUAAAAAAAAAUUUAACCUUAUUAACUAUCGUAAUACAUCUAAUCAUAAUUUUUUUUUUUUUAAUUGAAAAUAAACACUUGGAUUGAAAUUUGAUUGACAGCUGAGCUUUCUCCCUUCCUCUUUGUAAUAACGAUAAGGACGAGUAUACACACUUAUAUAUUAUGUAAAUCCAUCGUUGAGAAAUUUUGCAAAAAAAUAUAUGUGGCGUCUCAGCCACAGCGACCAGCUUCGCGCCCACGACGAAAGCAGACCAUCGCCCCAAGGAACGUUUUCUUCUGCGCAAUCGCGAGUCAACUCACGCAUGAAUACAUUGCCGUUGCGCCACAGCUGAAGGAGAAGAGUCGUGGGAUAGACUAUUUUAUUUAUUUAUUU